CAGUAGCCACGGUAAUACGUAGGUGGCAAGCGUUGUCCGGAAUUAUUGGGCGUAAAGGGCUCGCAGGCGGUUUCUUAAGUCUGGUGUGAAAGCCCCCGGCUCAACCGGGGAGGGUCAUUGGAAACUGGGAAACUUGAGUGCAGAAGAGGAGAGUGGAAUUCCACGUGUAGCGGUGAAAUGCGUAGAGAUGUGGAGGAACACCAGUGGCGAAGGCGACUCUCUGGUCUGUAACUGACGCUGAGGAGCGAAAGCGUGGGGAGCGAACGGGAUUAGAUACCCGCGUAGUCCCUGUCUCUUAUAC
rnacentral:rRNA from 1 species